ensembl:lncRNA
AUGACAGAGUCGGAUAUGAGAAAACGCUGUGUCGGCACUCUUCUGGUCCUCAUGCUGAUACAGACAGGCAUGACAGACAGUGGGAUUUCUGUGUCUCACAAAUGGCAUGGAGACCACCUAUCUAUCACCUGUCGUCUCAUGGGGGACAAAGACACUGUUUCUCAGAUCAACUGGGAGAUGACCAGCAGUUCGAACCACACCACCACCAGAUUGAAACUGGGCAUCUUCCACCCCGUGUUUGGUACCUACGUGGUCCCGGAGUACAACGAUACUGUGGAGAUCCAGGGAAACGCCUCCAGCGGCCAUUACACGCUCAGGCUGAGAGGUAGCACUGUGUUGGAGGAGAGUCAGUUCUGCUGUAAAUUCAUGACCUUUCCCUCUGGAGGGCUGGAGCACUGUACAAAUACCAGGAUUAAUGAAAGCACAGAGGAGGCCCAGGUGUCAGAAGGCCCACAGGGUUUACUAGAGGAGAGACAAGUGGAGCAGUGGGCUCUGCUAGUAAUGGGACCUACCAUCUGUCUCCUCAGUAUCGCGAUCUCUCUCUACUACUGCUUGAAGUAUUGCUGCAGACACUGCUGCCGCAGGAGGCGAGUGUUCGAGGUGGAGACUUAUCUGACAGACCAGCACACAGACUCGGAGGAGGUCACAGAGGAGCCACCCCAUCAACCCCCCCUUCCCUCACCCCCUCCCCUCCAGCUCCAGGGUUUUGACCCCUCUAAGCUCUACACUAAGAUCAAGCAGGACCUGCUGUAUGGACGACUGUGGAAGGCCUACCAGGGGACAGCUAAGGCCUGGGGCCCCACAACACAGCAGGGUCCACACCAGCAAGGGCCACAACAAGGGGCAGAACUAGGGCCACAAAAGGUCUAUUUUCUUCUGGGGGAUCAUCGGGUGUCACAGAGAGAGGAAUCAGAAGAACCAGAACUAGAACCUAAUCUAGAACAAGAACAAGAACCUCAACCAACCCUUGAAAGAACCGUGGAACCACAGACUGAGCCUGAACCUAUCCAUCCUUUAGCCCUGGAACCUGGAACACAGAUGGAGGUUCAAGAACCAGAAUGUAAUUUAGAACUAGAACCCAACUUCCCAUCAACCCUUUCUGCACAGAGGGAGGAACUGGAAUCAUACAUAGGAACAGAGAAAGAGGAAAUUGAAGAAACCAGAGACUAACCCUUCAGCAAGGAGGUUCAUGAAGGGAAGGUGUGUUGUGUUGUUGUGUGUGUGUGCGGGCCGUGCGUGUGUGCGUGUGUACGUGUGUGUUGGGAGGAAUAAUGCACUGUUGACAUUGGGUGAAUAACCCUGACCUCCUAAGGUUAGCUGUCAAUCAAUACGAUUAAUAAUUAUUGCCCCAGUGAGAAAUUUGGAGUAAAAAUUAAACUCACAGGUAAUCGCCAUGGUUUUUUGUUUACUGUGAACAUCGUACGUGUGGUUAGACGUCUCUCUCUCUCUCUCUCUCUCUCUCUCUCUCUCUCUCUCUCUCUCUCUCUCUCUCUCUCUCUCUCUCUCUCUCUCUCUCUCUCUCUCUCUCUCUCUCUCUCUCUCUCUCUCUCUCUCUCUCUCUCUCUCUCUCUCAGACAGACUGUACAUACUGCACACCACACACGCACACUGGUAAAUGGGGUUUGAAGUCUCGGCCAUCGCUCAGCUGUUUCUCACAUUUGAGCUCACAACAGUGUGGCAUAUAACGUAACUGGUAUACUGUUAACAGACAGAAGAAGCAGGGGAAUGUCUUUCAAGCAGAGCUUUUUUAUAACAUUUCCUGUAUUUAGUGCGAUGUGAAUAGAACAUUAUGCUUUUGAAUAUAGUAAUGGGUUGCAUGACCUUUAGAUUCUAAAAAAGAGCUGUUAUAGCCAACUGAUCUGUUAUUGUAAGGAGCAAGACAGUGAGUGAUUUUUAUUUUGUGUAUCCGGUUUUGUGAUUGCAAUUUCUGUAUAUAAUGUUUAUACUUUAGUUUAAAUAAAAAAUCGGACUAGCAAAAGUGUUAGAGUCCUUCACUUGAUAUCUAGAAUAUGCCUGCUUUUUGGGGGGCCACUGGGGGACGACACAAGACCAUUUAUUCACUAACCUCGGUCCCAGGAAAUUUAGCACAACACAUACGUCAACGAUUCAUAGUUGGCCUUAGUGGGAGUGACCAUCAGGCUUGUGGUAAUGGCUGGAGCGGAAUCAGUGGAAUGGUAUCAAAUACGUCAAACAAUGUUUCCAGGUGUUAUAUGCCAUUCCAUAUGUUCCGCUCCAGACAUUAUUAUGAUUUUUCUCCCCUCAGCAGACUCACGUGGUUCUAACAGACUAAUGCAUGUAAAAUAAUGUGUUAUGAGGCAAAGAAUAUUAAUUAUGGAUACAGUAGUUCUUCCAGAAACAAUUUGAAAAUAAGUCAAAACAAAUAGGCUAGCCAAAAUCGGGAAUAGCAGUAGGCUACAAUGGCAUAUGUGACACUUGUUACAAUGAAUUACAAUUGCAGUACAGGUUUCUGACAUUUCCAGUCCAAGUCCAGGUGAAAAGUCAACUUUUAUAACGGUUACACAGAAGGCCACAAUUGGGACUAAAGUUCAAUCCCUUCCUGAUGUUAUUAGGCAGCCUAGUCUCACAGACAAGACGUAACAUACUAAAUGAAAAGCGGCGACACUCAAAUUACUAGGGGCCGAUGAGAUGUUACAUUUGGUAUGGUUACAUAAGACAGAUGGUUACUUAAGGCAAGUAACGCAAAUGUCAAGCAACCCAAAGGUUGCGUGUUCAACUCUCAUCACGGACAACUUUAGCAUUUCAGCUAAUUAGCAACUUCAGCAAUUACUUACUACUUUACAAAUAAUUAGCAUGUUAGCUAACCUAACCUUAACCCUUUAACCUAACUCAUAACCUUAACCUUAACCCCUAAAGCCAAGUUUAGCUAACCCCCUAAUCCUAACCAUAAAUCCCUUUAACCCAGAGUUCCCCAACUGGUGGCCCGCCAAAGGCUGUAAAAACACCAGCAAAGACUUAAAAACACCAGCAAAUCAGCUCCAAGUGAUUUCAAAUUAGGAAGCAUUCCCACGCAUAGAGAAAUAUACAACACCAAUCAAAAGUUUGGACACAUCUACUCAUUCAAUGGUUUUUAUUUAUUUGUACUAUUUUCUACAUUGUAGAAUAAUAAUGCAGACAUCAAAAAUAUCAAGUAACACAUAUGAAAUCAUGUAUCAACCAAAAAUGUGUUAAUCAAAUCAAAUCAAAAUAUAUUUUAUAUUUUAUAUUCUUCAAAGUAGCCACUCUUUGCCUUGAUGACAGCUUUGAACACUCUUGGAAUUCUCUCAACCAGCUUCACCUGGAAUGCUUUUCCAACAGUCUUGAAGGAGUUCCUGCAUAUGCUGAGCACUCAUUGAAAACCAUCUCAGUUGGGUUGAGGUUGGUUGAUUGUGUUGACCUUUUGCCACAUUUCAGGCUUCAAACAUGAAGAUAUAAAACUGUAUUUUUUUGUGAAGAAUCAACAACAAAUGGGACACAAUCAUGAAGUGGAACAACAUUUAUUGGAUAUUUCAAACUUUUUUAACAAAUCAAAAACUGAAAAAUUGGGCGUGCAAAAUUAUUCAGCCCCUUUACUUUCAGUGCAGCAAACUCUCUCCGGAAGUUCAGUGAGGAUCUCUGAAUGAUCCAAUGUUGACCUAAAUGACUAAUGAUGAUAAAUACAAUCCACCUGUGUGUAAUCAAGUCUCCGUAUAAAUGCACCUGCACUGUGAUAGUCUCAGAGGUCCGUUAAAAGCGCAGAGAGCAUCAUGAAGAACAAGGAACACACCAGGCAGGUCCGAGAUACUGUUGUGAAGAAGUUUAAAGCCGGAUUUGGAUACAAAAAGAUUUCCCAAGCUUUAAACAUCCCAAGGAGCACUGUGCAAGCGAUAAUAUUGAAAUGGAAGGAGUAUCAGACCACUGCAAAUCUACCAAGACCUGGCCGUCCCUCUAAACUUUCAGCUCAUACAAGGAGAAGACUGAUCAGAGAUGCAGCCAAGAGGCCCAUGAUCACUCUGGAUGAACUGCAGAGAUCUACAGCUGAGGUGGGAGACUCUGUCCAUAGGACAACAAUCAGUCGUAUAUUGCACAAAUCUGGCCUUUAUGGAAGAGUGGCAAGAAGAAAGCCAUUUCUUAAAGAUAUCCAUAAAAAGUGUUGUUUAAAGUUUGCCACAAGCCACCUGGGAGACACACCAAACAUGUGGAAGAAGGUGCUCUGGUCAGAUGAAACCAAAAUUAAACUUUUUGGCAACAAUGCAAAACGUUAUGUUUGGCGUAAAAGCAACACAGCUGAACACACCAUCCCCACUGUCAAACAUGGUGGUGGCAGCAUCAUGGCUUGUGCCUGCUUUUCUUCAGCAGGGACAGGGAAGAUGGUUAAAAUUGAUGGGAAGAUGGAUGGAGCCAAAUACAGGACCAUUCUGGAAGAAAACCUGAUGGAGUCUGCAAAAGACCUGAGACUGGGACGGAGAUUUGUCUUCCAACAAGACAAUGAUCCAAAACAUAAAGCAAAAUCUACAAUGGAAUGGUUCAAAAAUAAACAUAUCCAGGUGUUAGAAUGGCCAAGUCAAAGUCCAGACCUGAAUCCAAUCAAGAAUCUGUGGAAAGAACUGAAAACUGCUGUUCACAAAUGCUCUCCAUCCAACCUCACUGAGCUCGAGCUGUUUUGCAAGGAGGAAUGGGAAAAAAUGUGUCUCUCGAUGUGCAAAACUGAUAGAGACAUACCCCAAGCGACUUACAGCUGUAAUCGCAGCAAAAGGUGGUGCUACAAAGUAUUAACUUAAGGGGGCUGAAUAAUUUUGCACUCCCAAUUUUUCAGUUUUUGAUUUGUUAAAACAUUUUGAAAUAUCCAAUAAAUGUCGUUCCACUUCAUGAUUGUGUCCCACUUGUUGUUGAUUCUUCACAAAAAAAUACAGUUUUAUAUCUUUAUGUUUGAAGCCUGAAAUGUGGCAAAAGGUCGCAAAGUUCAAGGGGGCCGAAUACUUUCGCAAGGCACUGUAUCUAUCUAUCUCUCUCUCUCUCUCUAUAUA